CCUACGGGUGGCUGCAGUGAGGAAUAUUGGUCAAUGGGCGGGAGCCUGAACCAGCCAAGUCGCGUGAGGGAAGACGGUCCUAUGGAUUGUAAACCUCUUUAGGCGGGGAGCAAUGCCGGGCACGCGUGCCCGGAGGGAGAGUACCCGCAGAAUAAGCAUCGGCAAACUCCGUGCCAGCAGCCGCGGUAAUACGGGGGAUGCGAGCGUUAUCCGGAUUUAUUGGGUUUAAAGGGUGCGUAGGCGGAUUUUUAAGUCAGCGGUAAAAUGUCCGGGCUCAAGCCGGGCCGGCCGUUGAAACUGGUGAUCUUGAGUGGGCGAGAAGUAUGCGGAAUGCGUGGUGUAGCGGUGAAAUGCAUAGAUAUCACGCAGAACUCCGAUUGCGAAGGCAGCAUACCGGCGCCCUACUGACGCUGAGGCACGAAAGCGUGGGUAUCGAACAGGAUUAGAUACCCUUGUAGUC
rnacentral:rRNA from 1 species